rnacentral:rRNA from 1 species
GGUUCGAUCAUGGCUCAGGGUGAACGCUGGCAGGAUGCUUUACAUGCAAGUCGAACGGCAGCACGGACUUCGGUCUGGUGGCGAGUGGCGAACGGGUGAGUAAUGUAUCAGAACGCGUGCUAGUGGCGGGGGAUAACUGCAGCGUAGCUAAUACUGCAUACGCCUUCCCUUCGGGAAAGCGGGGGACCUUCGGGCCUCGCACUAUUGAAGCGGCCGAUAUCGGAUUAGCUGGUUGAACGGGUAACGGCGCUCGCAAGGCGACGAUCCGUAGCUGGUUUGAAGGACAAACCAGCCACGCAGGACUGAGACACGGCCCAGACUCCUGGGAGAGGCAGCAGUGGGGAAUUUUGGCGUGGAAACCUGAUCAUGCAUCCCGCGUGUGCGAUGAAGGCCUUCGGGUUGUAAGCACUUUUGGCAGGAAAGAAACGGCACGGGAUAAUACCCGUGCAACUGACAGUACCUGCAGAAUAAGCACCGGCUAACUACGCCAGCAGCCGCGGUAUGCGACGAGGGUGCAAGCGUUAAUCGGAAUUACUGGGCGUAAAGCGUGCAGGCGGUUCGGAAAGAAAGAUGUGAAAUCCCAUUAACUUUGGAACUGCAUUUUUAACUACCGAGCUAGAGUGUGUACAAGAGGAGGUGAAUUCCGCGUGUAGCAGUGAAAUGCGUAGAUAUGCGGAGAACACCGAUGGCGAAGGCAGCCUCCUGGGAUAACACUGACGCUCAUGCACGAAAAGCGUGGGGGAGCAAACGGGAUUAGAUACCCUGGUAGUCCACGCCCUAAACGAUGUCAACUGGCUAUUUGGGGCCUUCGGGCCUUGGUAGCGCAGCUAACGUGCGAAGUUGACCGCCUGCCGGGAAGCCUGAUCGCAAGAUUAAAACUCAAAGGAAUUGACGGGGACCCGCACAAGCGGUGGAUGAUGUGGAUUAAUUCAGUGCAGCGCGAAAAACCUUGCUACCCUUGACAUGUGGAAUCCCGAAGAGAUUUGGGAGUGCUCGCAAGAGAACCGGAACACAGGUGCUGCAUGGCUGUCGUCAGCUCGUGUCGUGAGAUGUUGGGUUAAGUCCCGCAACGAGCGCAACCCUUGUCAUUGGUUGCUACGAAAGGGCACUCUAAUGAGACUGCCGGUGACAAACCGGAGGAAGGUGGGGAUGACGUCAAGUCCUCAUGGCCCUUAUGGGUAGGGCUUCACACAUCAUACAAUGGUCGGGACAGGGUCGCUUCAACCCGCGAAGAGCCAAUCCCAGGAAACCCGAUCGUAGUCGGAUCCUGAAGUCUGCAACUCGACUGCGUGAAGUCGAAUCGUAGUAAUCGCGGAUCAGCAUGUCGCGGUGAUGCGAUUCCCGGGUCUUGUACGCCCAUCACACCAGCAUGGGAGUGGGUUUUACCAAGUAAAUUAACUAACCAUGGAGGGCGAUUACCACGGUAGGAUUCAUGACUGGGGUGAAGUCGUAACAAAGGUAG